rnacentral:misc_RNA from 1 species
GAUGAAGAACGUAGCGAAAUGCGAUAAGUAAUGUGAAUUGCAGAAUUCAGUGAAUCAUCGAAUCUUUGAACGCACAUUGCGCCCGCCAGUAUUCUGGCGGGCAUGCCUGUUCGAGCGUCAUUACAACCCUCAGGCCCCCGGGCCUGGCGUUGGGGAUCGGCGGAAGCCCCCUGCGGGCACAACGCCGUCCCCCAAAUACAGUGGCGGUCCCGCCGCAGCUUCCAUUGCGUAGUAGCUAACACCUCGCAACUGGAGAGCGGCGCGGCCACGCCGUAAGACACCCAACUUCUGAAUGUUGACCUCGAAUCAGGUAGGAAUACCCGCUGAACUUAAGCAUAUCAAUAAGCGGAGGA